rnacentral:misc_RNA from 1 species
GAAAUGCGAUAAGUAGUGUGAAUUGCAGAAUUCAGUGAAUCAUCGAAUCUUUGAACGCACAUUGCGCCUCCUGGUAUUCCGGGAGGCAUGCCUGUUCGAGCGUCAUCAAAAUCGCUCAAGCUUGAAUUUAUUCAUGGCUUGGUAUUGGAGUUGGAGUGGACAUGUGCCAUUCCUAUCCGAAAAUCAAUGGCAAAGUUAUCUGUACCAAUAGGCGUAGUAAUCAACAUUAUGUUUCGCUGUGAUAGAGAUAAAUCUUCGGCCGUUAACCCCCCUAUUUUAAGUGUUUGACCUCGGAUCAGGUAGGGAUACCCGCUGAACUUAA